rnacentral:rRNA from 1 species
GAAUUCGAUUAACGCGAAGAACCUUACCCAGGCUCGAACGGUGAUGGACAUCCGGCGAAAGCCGGCUCCCGCAAGGGCCGUCAUCGAGGUGCUGCAUGGCUGUCGUCAGCUCGUGUCGUGAGAUGUUGGGUUAAGUCCCGCAACGAGCGCAACCCUUGUCCGCUGUUGCCAUCAGGUUAUGCUGGGCACUCUGCGGAGACUGCCGGUGAUAAACCGGAGGAAGGUGGGGAUGACGUCAAGUCAGCAUGGCCUUUAUGUCUGGGGCUACACACGUGCUACAAUGGCCGGUGCAAACCGUCGCGAUCUCGCGAGAGGGAGCUAAUCGGAGAAAGCCGGUCUCAGUUCGGAUUGCAGGCUGCAACUCGCCUGCAUGAAGUUGGAAUCGCUAGUAAUCGCGGAUCAGCACGCCGCGGUGAAUACGUUCCCGGGCCUUGUCACACCGAAUCACUA